rnacentral:rRNA from 1 species
GACGAACGUUGGCGGCGUGCUUAACACAUGCAAGUCGAACGGAAAGGCCCUGCUUUUGUGGGGUGCUCGAGUGGCGAACGGGUGAGUAACACGUGAGUAACCUGCCCUUGACUUUGGGAUAACUUCAGGAAACUGGGGCUAAUACCGGAUAGGAGCUCCUGCUGCAUGGUGGGGGUUGGAAAGUUUCGGCGGUUGGGGAUGGACUCGCGGCUUAUCAGCUUGUUGGUGGGGUAGUGGCUUACCAAGGCUUUGACGGGUAGCCGGCCUGAGAGGGUGACCGGCCACAUUGGGACUGAGAUACGGCCCAGACUCCUACGGGAGGCAGCAGUGGGGAAUAUUGCACAAUGGGCGGAAGCCUGAUGCAGCAACGCCGCGUGCGGGAUGACGGCCUUCGGGUUGUAAACCGCUUUCGCCUGUGACGAAGCGUGAGUGACGGUAAUGGGUAAAGAAGCACCGGCUAACUACGUGCCAGCAGCCGCGGUGAUACGUAGGGUGCGAGCGUUGUCCGGAUUUAUUGGGCGUAAAGGGCUCGUAGGUGGUUGAUCGCGUCGGAAGUGUAAUCUUGGGGCUUAACCCUGAGCGUGCUUUCGAUACGGGUUGACUUGAGGAAGGUAGGGGAGAAUGGAAUUCCUGGUGGAGCGGUGGAAUGCGCAGAUAUCAGGAGGAACACCAGUGGCGAAGGCGGUUCUCUGGGCCUUUCCUGACGCUGAGGAGCGAAAGCGUGGGGAGCGAACAGGCUUAGAUACCCUGGUAGUCCACGCUGUAAACGGUGGGUACUAGGUGUGGGGUCCAUUCCACGGGUUCCGUGCCGUAGCUAACGCUUUAAGUACCCCGCCUGGGGAGUACGGCCGCAAGGCUAAAACUCAAAGGAAUUGACGGGGCCCCGCACAAGCGGCGGAGCAUGCGGAUUAAUUCGAUGCAACGCGUAGAACCUUACCUGGGUUUGACAUGGAUCGGGAGUGCUCAGAGAUGGGUGUGCCUCUUUUGGGGUCGGUUCACAGGUGGUGCAUGGCUGUCGUCAGCCCGUGUCGUGAGAUGUUGGGUUAAGUCCCGCAACGAGCGCAACCCUUGUUCACUGUUGCCAGCACGUUAUGGUGGGGACUCAGUGGAGACCGCCGGGGUCAACUCGGAGGAAGGUGGGGAUGACGUCAAGUCAUCAUGCCCCUUAUGUCCAGGGCUUCACGCAUGCUACAAUGGCUGGUACAGAGAGUGGCGAGCCUGUGAGGGUGAGCGAAUCUCGGAAAGCCGGUCUCAGUUCGGAUUGGGGUCUGCAACUCGACCUCAUGAAGUCGGAGUCGCUAGUAAUCGCAGAUCAGCAACGCUGCGGUGAAUACGUUCCCGGG